rfam:Oryza sativa Japonica Group DNA, chromosome 1, cultivar: Nipponbare, complete sequence.
AAAAAGACAAACCCUAGAUUUCCGUGCCAACAUUUGACCGCCCGUCUUAUAUGAAUUUUUUUUAUAAUUAGUAUUUUUAUUGUUGUUAGAUGAUAAAACAUGAUUAAUACUUUAUGCGUGACUUAUUUUUUUAAUUUUUUUUCAUAAUUUUUUUAAAUAAGACGGACGGUCAAACGUUGGACACUGGAACCAGGGUCUGUCUUUUUU